rnacentral:rRNA from 1 species
AUUGAACGCUGGCGGCAGGCCUAACACAUGCAAGUCGAGCGCGCGGCGGACGGGUGCGUAAUGUCUGGGAAACUGCCUGAUGGAGGGGGAUAACUACUGGAACCGGUAGCUAAUACCGCAUACCAUCAGAUGUGCCCAGAUGGGAUUAGCUAGUAGGUGGGGUAACGGCUCACCUAGGCGCCGAUCCCUAGCUGGUCUGAGAGGAUGACCAGCCACGCUGAAAAUGAGACACGGUCCAGACUCGUACGGGAGGCAGCAGUGGGGAAUAUUGCACAAUGGGCGCAAGCCUGAUGCAGCCAUGCCGCGUGUGUGAAGAAGGCCUUCGGGUUGUAAAGCACUUUCAGCGUGGAGGCGUUACCCGCAGAAGAAGCACCGGCUAACUCCGUGCCAGCAGCCGCGGUAAUUC